AGAUGGCUAAACUCAAACUAAAACAUUGGAUCAGAAUAUGCGCUGUCAUAGUAACACUGUUCCUUAUUCAUACACAAGUUAUAAGACAAAGCAAGUUGAUCCGAACAGAAAAACGAGAGCUCCUGGUGUCAACAGAGAUCCCAGCUGAGCACAUUGACCCCGCCUCCAUAGAUCUUACUGGACUCGUCAACACACUCAUCAAUGCUUCACCACACGGUACAUCACACACACACACACACACACACACACACACACACAUUGUUUUUUGUUUUGUUUUGUUUGUUUUUUUAACUAUGGGCACUUUUAUAUCACAGGGGUUGAUUUUUAUUCAAAUGUAUCAAAGUCACAAUAAAACCAUUUGGAAACUUUGCACUAUUUUUUUUUUUUCUUUUUUAGUUUUUUCUCUGUUUUUAUUUCUUUAAAUAAAGGUAAUUGAGGUCAUUCUUUUGUUGACUGAGUAUCUUGCAAUUCUAGGUUUAUCUCUCACAAAAAAAGACAGUUGCAUUAGUUUUUUUCAUUCUGUAAAAGGAACAAUAGUAUGUAUGUAUAUUCUGUUAAAGGUAGGGUAGGUGAAUCACAAGAACGCACUCAGGAAGAUAAGAGAUGCUAGUGGUGGAGGACUACCUCAUGUCUCAUUCACCAGCAAGAAAACGCUACAGUACAAAGCGCAUAAUAUUACAAUAAUAGCACCUUUCAUUCUCACUGAAACACACUGAUGAUGUAUCGUGUCUGUGCAUCGUGUCUGUGCAUCGUAAUGUUUGGACUGAACAUUUUGAUUGGACAAACAUUUUAUGGUCCUAAGCCUUCCACAGACAAUAUAAAUAUAUAUAAAUAAAUGCAGAACACUUAACUUAGUGAUUGCUAUC
ensembl:lncRNA